UACGUAGGGUGCAAGCGUUGUCCGGAAUUAUUGGGCGUAAAGAGCUCGUAGGCGGUCUGUCGCGUCUGCUGUGAAAGCCCAAGGCUUAACCUCGGGUCUGCAGUCGAUACGGGCUAGCUAGAGUGUGGUAGGGGAGAUCGGAAUUCCUGGUGUAGCGGUGAAAUGCGCAGAUAUCAGGAGGAACACCGGUGGCGAAGGCGGAUCUCUGGGCCAUUACUGACGCUGAGGAGCGAAAGCGUGGGGAGCGAACAGG
rnacentral:rRNA from 1 species